rnacentral:rRNA from 1 species
UACGGGGGGGGCAAGCGUUGUCCGGAAUUAUUGGGCGUAAAGAGCUCGUAGGCGGUUUGUCGCGUCUGCUGUGAAAACUGGAGGCUCAACCUCCAGCCUGCAGUGGGUACGGGCAGACUAGAGUGCGGUAGGGGAGAUUGGAAUUCCUGGUGUAGCGGUGGAAUGCGCAGAUAUCAGGAGGAACACCGAUGGCGAAGGCAGAUCUCUGGGCCGUAACUGACGCUGAGGAGCGAAAGCAUGGGGAGCGAACAGG